rnacentral:rRNA from 1 species
AUUGAACGCUGGCGGCAGGCCUAACACAUGCAAGUCGAACGGUAACAGGAAGCAGCUUGCUGCUUCGCUGACGAGUGGCGGACGUGUGAGUAAUGUCUGGGAAGCUGCCUGAUGGAGGGGGAUAACUACUGGAAACGGUAGCUAAUACCGCAUAAUGUCGCAAGACCAAAGAGGGGGACCUUCGGGCCUCUUGCCCUCGGAUGUGCCCAGAUGGGAUUAGCUUGUUGGUGGGGUAACGGCUCACCAAGGCGACGAUCCCUAGCUGGUCUGAGAGGAUGACCAGCCACACUGGGACUGAGACACGGUACAGACUCCUACGGGAGGCAGCAGUGGGGAAUAUUGCACAAUGGGCGCAAGCCUGAUGCAGCCAUGCCGCGUGUAUGAAGAAGGCCUUCGGGUUGUAAAGUACUUUCAGCGGGGAGGAAGGGAGUAAAGUUAAUACCUUUGCUCAUUGACGUUACCCGCAGAAGAAGCACCGGCUAACUCCGUG